UUUAAGUGCUCUCGCAGCUGUGGCUGCAAUGCACAUAAGGAAUCCAAACAGCUAACAAUGAAGAUCGAGAGGAAGCAAACACAACACAAAGAGAGAAAAUAUCUCCGGUAAUCAAAACUCUUGGAGCAACAUAAGAGUUCAUAUGGUGAACAGGAUGAAAAAAACACAGCCGAACACAAAAUAAUGCCUUAACUUAACAAUGCGAAAUGUAAUUUUAGGAAUGUAUGAGCUUGUUCAUAAAACUACAUAUAUGUGAGAACAAAAUAAUAUACGCACUCAAGCAUUGGAUUGAAGCAAGAAGAUUAUAGCUCCCA